ensembl:lncRNA
AUUGUUUGGGUGUUCAUGUUGCUACUCGCGUUCGCCCUGUGAUUGUUAGCUUUCACAAGCAGGUUGUUUGCUUCCUUCACGGAGUUUUCCCGUGCAGUCACGUCUACCUGCGCAACGGCAGGCAACUGUCCAGCUCUUUAUCCUCCACUGCCACACUGGACUCGGGAACCUUUUUUCCGGCCUCGCUUAAGUCCGUUCUGGUGCAGCGCGUUCAAUCACUGUUUUUCCCCUACUAUAAAAAAAGCCACUGAAGGCGUCACAGCGUACCCCAAGGUCACUAUUUUGUUUCAAUGUGCAAACUGUGUUGCCUCUGCUAUUAUAAGGUCGUACUGUCCCAUUCUCUCUGUGUCAGAGGCACUGUUCGCCGGUUGUAGCGUAUAGGCCUGGCCCUUCUUGAACCCCCCC